GAAAUCAGGUUCUAUGUGUGCUUCUCUAACGACACGAUGCACAGCUCUCCAGCCCUGCAAACAGCUUGUGGAGCACUCUGUGGAACAAAAUGGAUGCAACUGGAUUAGAGGCUGAAUCAAUUGGCAAAGGUCGAUGAUUUAAUCAAUCAUGCCUGCAUGAUGAAGACUCCAUAAAAAGCCAAGAGGACAGUGUUUAGAGAGCGUCUGGGGUUGAUGAACAAAGGGAGAUGCGGGGCAGCCCACUCAUCGAACAGAGAAACUCCACACUCCUUCCCACGUACCUUGUCCUCUGUGUCUCUUCCAUCUGGCUGUUCCUGAGUUGUAUCCUUUCACAAUAAACUGGUACUCAAGUAGAUCCCGUCAGUACCUGGAUGAACCACAGGGUGCCCAGCUGGAGGCGGAGAAUCAGCAUCAGCAUUGGAGGUGGAUGGAACAGAACAAAAUAAAAUUGUAUCCUGCACUACAAGUAACACAAAAAUUCUAGCAUAGGGGUGUCUGGGUGGCUCAGUCAUUAAGCGUCUGCCUUCAGCUCAGGGUGUGUUCCCAGGG